UGGACGAACCUCUAGUGUACCUGUUGUGGCGCCAGCUGCACCGCAGGGUAGCUAUGUUCGGAUGAGAUAAGUGCUGAAAGCAUCUAAGUACGAAACUCACCUCAAGAUGAGGUUUCUUUGAAGGGUCGUUGUAGACGACAACGUAGAUAGGUUGCAGAUGUAAAGGUAGAGAUAUCAAAGUCGAGCAAUACUAAUAACCCGUAAACUUCGCAUG
rnacentral:rRNA from 1 species